GUUAGCGGCGGACGGGUGAGUAACACGUGGGUAACCUGCCUGUAAGACUGGGAUAACUCCGGGAAACCGGGGCUAAUACCGGAUGGUUGUCUGAACCGCAUGGUUCAGACAUAAAAGGUGGCUUCGGCUACCACUUACAGAUGGACCCGCGGCGCAUUAGCUAGUUGGUGAGGUAACGGCUCACCAAGGCGACGAUGCGUAGCCGACCUGAGAGGGUGAUCGGCCACACUGGGACUGAGACACGGCCCAGACUCCUACGGGAGGCAGCAGUAGGGAAUCUUCCGCAAUGGACGAAAGUCUGACGGAGCAACGCCGCGUGAGUGAUGAAGGUUUUCGGAUCGUAAAGCUCUGUUGUUAGGGAAGAACAAGUGCCGUUCAAAUAGGGCGGCACCUUGACGGUACCUAACCAGAAAGCCACGGCUAACUACGUGCCAGCAGCCGCGGUAAUACGUAGGUGGCAAGCGUUGUCCGGAAUUAUUGGGCGUAAAGGGCUCGCAGGCGGUUUCUUAAGUCUGAUGUGAAAGCCCCCGGCUCAACCGGGGAGGGUCAUUGGAAACUGGGGAACUUGAGUGCAGAAGAGGAGAGUGGAAUUCCACGUGUAGCGGUGAAAUGCGUAGAGAUGUGGAGGAACACCAGUGGCGAAGGCGACUCUCUGGUCUGUAACUGACGCUGAGGAGCGAAAGCGUGGGGAGCGAACAGGAUUAGAUACCCUGGUAGUCCACGCCGUAAACGAUGAGUGCUAAGUGUUAGGGGGUUUCCGCCCCUUAGUGCUGCAGCUAACGCAUUAAGCACUCCGCCUGGGGAGUACGGUCGCAAGACUGAAACUCAAAGGAAUUGACGGGGGCCCGCACAAGCGGUGGAGCAUGUGGUUUAAUUCGAAGCAACGCGAAGAACCUUACCAGGUCUUGACAUCCUCUGACAAUCCUAGAGAUAGGACGUCCCCUUCGGGGGCAGAGUGACAGGUGGUGCAUGGUUGUCGUCAGCUCGUGUCGUGAGAUGUUGGGUUAAGUCCCGCAACGAGCGCAACCCUUGAUCUUAGUUGCCAGCAUUCAGUUGGGCACUCUAAGGUGACUGCCGGUGACAAACCGG
rnacentral:rRNA from 1 species